UGUUCGUUCAAUAUUGAAUAUUACAAGAGCUCCGUUUUGGUUUGACAACAAAAGAUAGGUGUUAUUAAGUGUGAUAUAUAAAAGAAGAACAAGUGUGACAAGUGACUCCUUCCGCUGAUUUGAGGUCAGUUUUUGAAAGAAAAAAUUUUCGCAACAAUUUCUGUUCAAGAUUCGUAUGAGAGUGGGACGAAAA
ensembl:ncRNA T22B7.19 ncRNA